rnacentral:ncRNA from 12 species
UAAAAGAAAGAUGUGCAGAGGGGGCACCCCUCGCCGUCGAAGGAAGGUGCUCAGGCUGCUUGCAGCCGCCGAAGGGAAC